CAUUUGAUGGCUGAUAAAAGCGUAAGUCUUUUAAACUUAUUAUAGAAAUUCUUCAAAUGA
rnacentral:tRNA from 1 species